GCCUGCGGAAGGAUCAUUACCCAAAAUUUUGACAAUACCUUACUAACCGCGGCCAAGGAUGGUCUGCACCAACGCUCGCCGUAUUGAGGCGGGGUCGGCACCCUCUGUCUACGUGUACCUCUUGUUGUUUCCUCGGCGGGCUCGCCCGUCGCCAGGAAUCUCCCAAACCCUUGCAUCUGAAGCAUACCAAAACUCCGAUAACCACUUAAUUAUCACAACUUUCAACAAUGGAUCUCUUGGUUCUGGCAUCGAUGAAGAACGCAGCGAAAUGCGAAAAGUAGUGUGAAUUGCAGAAUUCCGUGAAUCAUCGAAUCUUUGAACGCACAUUGCGCCCCUCGGUAUUCCGUGGGGCAUGCCUGUUCGAGCGUCAUCUACACCCUCAAGCUCUGCUUGGUGUUGGGCGUCUGUCCCGCCUCCGCGCGUGGACUCGCCCCAAAGUCAUUGGCAGCGGUCGUGCCAGCUUCUCGUGCAGCACAUUGCGCUUCUCGAAGCCCUGGCGGAUCGGCGUCCAGCAAGCCUCCCCACGAAUUUGACCUCGGAUCAGGUAGGGAUACCCGCUGAACUUAAGCAUAUCA
rnacentral:rRNA from 1 species